CCGUGAGAAGAUUCUAACACAGACAAGGUGCGAAAGUGCCUUCUGCACAGGGUCUUUGCCAGCAUCAAGUGAGAUCAAGAAUGAAAAAAAUCUACACAAUUGCCAAGUGCAGUGAAAAAGGUCUCUUAAUAAAUCCCGUGGAGAAGCUGGUGGGGGUGGACACCAAGAUGAAUGAAACAAGAUCUGUUUCUCCAUGAAGUAUGAUGGAGUGUGCAAGGACGACCAGAAUAUGAUCUAGGAGAAAUGCUUGAAAGGGCUGGGGACGCAAGGGAACUUUUCUAGCAUAAUAGCUGUCCAAAGGCAGCCGGGCUCAGCUGGAAGCUCUCCUGUGAUGGAGAGCAGGGCUAUGUCGCCCCCAACAAUUCACAGGUGUUGGAGGAGAACCUGGAAGAUCUCUACUUCAGAAAG